rnacentral:rRNA from 1 species
UACAGAGGUCCCAAGCGUUGUUCGGAUUUACUGGGCGUAAAGGGUGCGUAGGUGGCGCUGUAAGUCGGGUGUGAAAUCCUGGGGCUUAACCCCGAAACUGCAUUCGAUACUGCCGUGCUUGAGGACUGGAGAGGAGACUGGAAUUUACGGUGUAGCGGUGAAAUGCGUAGAUAUCGUAAGGAAGACCAGUGGCGAAGGCGGGUCUCUGGACAGUUCCUGACGCUGAGGCACGAAGGCCAGGGGAGCAAACGGG